ACAUGCAGUCGAACGGGUGGUAGCAAUACCACUAGUGGCGCACGGGUGCGUAACGCGUAACCAACCUACCUGGAUCUGGGGGAUAGCCCGCCGAAAGGCGGAUUAAUACCGCAUAAGACUAUAGAACGGCAUCGUUUAGUAGUUAAAGAUUUAUUGGAUUCAGAUGGGGUUGCGUAGCAUUAGCUAGAUGGCGGGGUAACGGCCCACCAUGGCGACGAUGCUUAGGGGACCUGAGAGGGUGAUCCCCCACACUGGCACUGAGAUACGGGCCAGACUCCUACGGGAGGCAGCAGUAGGGAAUAUUGGGCAAUGGGCGAGAGCCUGACCCAGCCAUGCCGCGUGCCGGAUGARGGCCUUCUGGGUUGWAACGGCUUUUCUCAGGRAAGAAAAAGGGGAUGCGUCCUCAACUGACGGUACCUGAGGAAUAAGCACCGGCUAACUCCGUGCCAGCAGCCGCGGUAAUACGGAGGGUGCAAGCGUUGUCCGGAUUUAUUGGGUUUAAAGGGUGCGUAGGUGGCUUGUUAAGUCCGGGGUGAAAGCCCACAGCUCAACUGUGGAACUGCCCUGGAUACUGGCGGGCUUGAGAGUAGUCGAGGGUGGCRGAAUGACGGUGUAGCGURAAAUGCAUAGAUACCGUCCAGAACCCCAAUUGCGUAGGCGCUGCCUAGGCUACAUCUGACACUGAG
rnacentral:rRNA from 1 species